CGGAGAAGGCGCAUGAGAUGGAUUCUGAGACACUAAUCCAGGCCCUACGGGGCGCAGCAGGCGCGAACACUUCGCAAUGGGGGAAACCCCGACGAGGGAACUCCAAGUGCCAGCACUUUGUGUUGGCUGUUUAUAUUCCUAAAAAGAAUGUAGAGUAAGGGCUGGGUAAGACGGGUGCCAGCCGCCGCGGUAAUACCCGCAGCCCGAGUGGUGGUCACUUUUAUUGGGCCUAAAACGUUCGUAGCCGGUUUGGUAAAUCUUUGGGUAAAUCGGGUGGCUUAACCAUUCGAAUUCCAAAGAGACUGCCAGACUAGGGACUGGGUGAGGUCAGAGGUACUUUUGGGGUAGGGGUGAAAUCCUUUAAUCCUAAAAGGACCACCAGUGGCGAAGGCGUCAGACUAACACAGCUCCGACGGUGAGGAACGAAGCCCUGGGGCGCAAACGGGAUUAGAUACCCCGGUAGUCCAGGGCGUAAACGCUGUGGGCUUGGUGUUGGAUGUCCUAUGGGGGCAUUCAGUGCCGGAGAGAAGUUGUUAAGCCUACUGCCUGGGGAAUACGGUCGCAAGGCUGACACUUAAAGGAAUUGGCGGGGGAGCACAGCAACGGGUGGAGCGUGCGGUUUAAUUGGAUUCAACGCCGGAAAACUCACCGGAGGUGACUGCCACAUGAGAGUCAGGCUAAAGACUUUACUCGAUUAAUAGGUAGAGAGGUGGUGCAUGGCCGUCGUCAGUUCGUACUGUAAAGCGUUCUGUUAAGUCAGAUAACGAACGAGACCCCUGCUGCUAGUUGCUACUCAUCUCCCCGGAGAUGAGGCACACUAUCGGGACCGCUGUCGCUAAGCCAGAGGAGGGGGGGGCAACGGUAGGUCAGUAUGCCCUGAAUCCUCCGGGCUACACGCGCGCUACAAAGGAUAGGACAAUGAGUUUCGACUCCGAGAGGGGAAGGUAAACCCGAAACCUAUACCGUAGUUCGGAUUGAAGGUUGCAACUCACCUUCAUGAAGCUGGAAUCCGUAGUAAUCGCGGAUCAACAUUCCGCGGUGAAUACGCCCCUGCUCCUUGCACACACCGCCCGUCAAACCACCCUAGUUGUGGGUGGAUGAGGAUGCUCAUUUCUUGGGGCGUUCAAAUCUAUUUACAGCAAGGAGGAUUAAGUCGUAACAAGGUAACC
rnacentral:rRNA from 1 species